UACGUAGGGUGCAAGCGUUUAAUCGGAAUUACUGGGCGUAAAGCGUGCGCAGGCGGUUUUGUAAGUCUGUCGUGAAAGCCCCGGGCUCAACCUGGGAAUUGCGAUGGAGACUGCAAGGCUUGAAUCUGGCAGAGGGGGGGUAGAAUUCCACGUGUAGCAGUGAAAUGCGUAGAUAUGUGGAGGAACACCGAUGGCGAAGGCAGCCCCCCUGGGUCAAGACUGACGCUCAUGCACGAAAGCGUGGGGAGCAAACAGG
rnacentral:rRNA from 1 species